GGAACAGCUAUUUCCAUGCUUGAUAUAAGUGCUCAACCUUUUACUCUUUUGUAUGCUGUAUGGGUGAGAGUGUGUUUGUGGAAAAGGAAAACAUCAGCUGGCGACUGGCUGAAGAAUGCAGACAGAUAAAAGACCAAACAAGAAGAAUUCACCCCAGAACAGUGAGAGAACAAUGGCAAGCGACCUUCAAGAAAGAACACAGUGAUAACCCAGCAAAAACCCAGAGGACUGGGUGAGUUGACAAGGCUGUAAAACAUGGGGUGAGACGUAUCAAUUUUGGGUCUUGUUCUGCAUGUCAUCCUGGAGCAUCAGUUCGUCUAACGAGAUGGACUGGCAGGAGCCCAGCUCCUACUUGUGAUCAACUUAGCUGGCCACUAAGUUGAACCAAUCACUGAUCAGACUGGUAAUGUAUACCAGCACAGAACAGAAAUUGGGGUAUGAAUGUGGUAUGUGUGUGUAUUAAGUGUUUAAUCAAUAAAUGUGGCGUCUUGCCUUCUCUUCCCUCAUAAGGUCUCACUCAUGAUUUGAGCAAUUGGCAAUUUGUGUAGUACAAGGGCCUGGCCCUCACUGCUGCUUCUCACUACUACUCAGGGUCAGCAUGGAUGAAGCCUCCCCAGUCCUCUGCUGCUAAAGCCAUGCAUCGUCCAGCCACUGUGUGGUGUGAUCAAAGUCCUUGCCCGCUGAACUCCCAUGCCACCUGGAUCUUACAUUAUCUACACCUAUAUUUUCCAGUCUUUUCUACUACUCUUGAUCUUUGAAAGAAAAAAAUUCAGGACAAGGGCCUUGUAACUGAUUCUAUGCUCUUAGAUGGUACUUUUAGGCAUAACUGGAAUACAAAAAGGCUGACUCCUAAGUUCUUAUUUAGAUUUCCCAAAAGCAAUCUGAUUUUUCUAACU